rnacentral:rRNA from 1 species
AUUGCCCUAGUAACGGCGAGUGAAGCGGCAACAGCUCAAAUUUGAAAUCUGGCCUUCUGGUCCGAGUUGUAAUUUGUAGAGGAUGAUUUUGGUUAGGUACCUUCCGAGUUCCUUGGAACAGGACGCCUUAGAGGGUGAGAGCCCCGUACGGUUGGAUGCCGAGCCUUUGUAAAUCUCCUUCGACGAGUCGAGUAGUUUGGGAAUGCUGCUCUAAAUGGGAGGUAAAUUUCUUCUAAAGCUAAAUACCGGCCAGAGACCGAUAGCGCACAAGUAGAGUGAUCGAAAGAUGAAAAGCACUUUGAAAAGAGGGUUAAAUAGUACGUGAAAUUGUUGAAAGGGAAGGAUUUAUGACCAGACCUUUGCCUUGCGGAUCAUCCGGUGUUCUCACCGGUGCACUUCGCUUGGUUGAGGCCAGCAUCAGUUUUGGCGGCGGGAUAAAGACUUCAGGAACGUGACUCCCCCGGGAGUGUUAUAGCCUGCUGUGUAAUACCGCCGCUGGGACUGAGGACCGCGCUUCGGCUAGGAUGCUGGCAUAAUGGUCAUCAAUCACCCGUCUUGAAACACGGACCAAGGAGUCGAACAUUUAUGCGAGUUUUUGGGUGUUAAACCCUCAAGCGUAAUGAAAGUGAACGGAGGUGAGAGCCCUUACGGGUGCAUCAUCGACCGAUCCUGAUGUCUUCGGAUGGAUUUGAGUAAGAGCAUAACUGUUCGGACCCGAAAGAUGGUGAACUAUGCGUGGAUAGGGUGAAGCCAGAGGAAACUCUGGUGGAGGCUCGCAGCGGUUCUGACGUGCAAAUCGAUCGUCAAAUCUGCGCAU